rnacentral:ncRNA from 1 species
UUUCGGUACUGUAGACGUAAAAGAACAGGACGUCACCGGCCGCGACCGGGUAAAAAGCGAA